UUUAUGGAGAGUUUGAUCCUGGCUCAGGAUGAACGCUGGCGGCGUGCCUAAUACAUGCAAGUCGAGCGAACAGAUAAGGAGCUUGCUCCUUUGACGUUAGCGGCGGACGGGUGAGUAACACGUGGGUAACCUACCUAUAAGACUGGAAUAACUCCGGGAAACCAGGGCUAAUGCCGGAUAACAUUUAGAACCGCAUGGUUCUAAAGUGAAAGAUGGUUUUGCUAUCACUUAUAGAUGGACCCGCGCCGUAUUAGCUAGUUGGUAAGGUAACGGCUUACCAAGGCAACGAUACGUAGCCGACCUGAGAGGGUGAUCGGCCACACUGGAACUGAGACACGGUCCAGACUCCUACGGGAGGCAGCAGUAGGGAAUCUUCCGCAAUGGGCGAAAGCCUGACGGAGCAACGCCGCGUGAGUGAUGAAGGUCUUCGGAUCGUAAAACUCUGUUAUUAGGGAAGAACAAAUGUGUAAGUAACUAUGCACGUCUUGACGGUACCUAAUCAGAAAGCCACGGCUAACUACGUGCCAGCAGCCGCGGUAAUACGUAGGUGGCAAGCGUUAUCCGGAAUUAUUGGGCGUAAAGCGCGCGCAGGUGGUUUCUUAAGUCUGAUGUGAAAGCCCACGGCUCAACCGUGGAGGGUCAUUGGAAACUGGGAGACUUGAGUGC
rnacentral:rRNA from 1 species